rnacentral:rRNA from 1 species
GAUGAACGCUGGCGGCGUGCCUAAUACAUGCAAGUCGAGCGAACAGACGAGGAGCUUGCUCCUUCGACGUUAGCGGCGGACGGGUGAGUAACACGUAGGUAACCUACCUAUAAGACUGGGAUAACUUCGGGAAACCGGAGCUAAUACCGGAUAAUAUUUCGAACCGCAUGGUUCGAUAGUGAAAGAUGGCUUUGCUAUCACUUAUAGAUGGACCUGCGCCGUAUUAGCUAGUUGGUAAGGUAACGGCUUACCAAGGCAACGAUACGUAGCCGACCUGAGAGGGUGAUCGGCCACACUGGAACUGAGACACGGUCCAGACUCCUACGGGAGGCAGCAGUAGGGAAUCUUCCGCAAUGGGCGAAAGCCUGACGGAGCAACGCCGCGUGAGUGAUGAAGGUCUUCGGAUCGUAAAACUCUGUUAUUAGGGAAGAACAAACGUGUAAGUAACUGUGCACGUCUUGACGGUACCCAAUCAGAAAGCCACGGCUAACUACGUG